rnacentral:tRNA from 1 species
GCCUUCGUGGUGUAUCGGUUAGCACACUCCGCUCGUAUUCGAGAGGUCUAGGUUCGAGUCCCAGCAAGGACA